rnacentral:rRNA from 1 species
GACGAACGCUGGCGGCGUGCUUAACACAUGCAAGUCGAACGGAAAGGCCCUGCUUUUGUGGGGUGCUCGAGUGGCGAACGGGUGAGUAACACGUGAGUAACCUGCCCUUGACUUUGGGAUAACUUCAGGAAACUGGGGCUAAUACCGGAUAGGAGCUCCUGCUGCAUGGUGGGGGUUGGAAAGUUUCGGCGGUUGGGGAUGGACUCGCGGCUUAUCAGCUUGUUGGUGGGGUAGUGGCUUACCAAGGCUGUGACGGGUAGCCGGCCUGAGAGGGUGACCGGCCACAUGGGGACUGAGAGACGGCCCAGACUGCUACGGGGGGCAGCAGUGGGGAAUAUGGUACAAUGGGCGGAAGCCUGAUGCAGCAACGCCGCGUGCGGGAUGACGGCCUUCUGGUUGUAAACCGCUUUCGCCUGUGACGAAGCGUGAGUGACGGUAAUGGGUAAAGAAGCACCGGCUAACUACGUG